rnacentral:rRNA from 1 species
GACGAACUGCCCAAACGUUGUUCGGAAUCACUGGGCUUAAAGGGCGCGUAGGCGGCGAAUCAAGUCAGGGGUGAAAUCCGGCAGCUUAACUGUCGAAGUGCCUUUGAUACUGGUUUGCUCGAGGGAGAUAGGGGUCUGUGGAACUUCUGGUGGAGCGGUGAAAUGCGUUGAUAUCAGAAGGAACGCCGGUGGCGAAGGCGAGGUGCUGGACCCCUUCUGACGCUGAGGCGCGAAAGCCAGGGGAGCGAACGGG